CUAAAUGAAAAUACUAAAUCACACACAUAUCGACACAUUCUUCGGGGUGCCCCUAACCGGGUCGAAGAUAUGGGAUAUGUGGAGGUCUAAC
rnacentral:sRNA from 1 species